CCUACGGGUGGCAGCAGUGAGGAAUAUUGGUCAAUGGGCGCGAGCCUGAACCAGCCAAGUAGCGUGAAGGAUGACUGCCCUGCGGGUUGUAAACUUCUUUUAUCAAGGAAUAAAGUGAGGCACGUGUGCCUUUUUGUGUGUACUUUAUGAAUAAGCAUCGGCUAACUCCGUGCCAGCAGCCGCGGUAAUACGGAGGAUCCGAGCGUUAUCCGGAUUUAUUGGGUUUAAAGGGCGCGUAGAUGGGUUGUUAAGUCAGUUGUGAAAGUGUGCGGCUCAACCGUAAAAUCGCAAUUGAUACUGGCAGUCUUGAGUAAAGUUGAGGUAGGCGGAAUGCGUGGUGUAGCGGUGAAAUGCUUAGAUAUCACGAAGAACUCCGAUUGCGAAGGCAGCUUACUAA
rnacentral:rRNA from 1 species